UACGUAGGGUGCAAGCGUUAAUCGGAAUUACUGGGCGUAAAGCGUGCGCAGGCGGUUGUGUAAGACGGGUGUGAAACCCCCGGGCUUAACCUGGGAAUGGCAUUUGUGACUGCACGGCUAGAGUGUGUCAGAGGGGGGUAGAAUUCCACGUGUAGCAGUGAAAUGCGUAGAGAUGUGGAGGAAUACCGAUGGCGAAGGCAGCCCCCUGGGAUAACACUGACGCUGAAGCACGAAAGCGUGGGGAGCAAACAGG
rnacentral:rRNA from 1 species